CGCUGAUUGAGUGGUUGAGGGGCGACGGGGCGUUGCAGGCGCUGCUGGGCGAUCCGGUUCGGGUCUGGGACCAGCCG
rnacentral:tRNA from 1 species